GAUGAACGCUAGCUACAGGCUUAACACAUGCAAGUCGAGGGGCAGCACAGAGAUAGCUUGCUAUCUUGGGUGGCGACCGGCGCACGGGUGAGUAACGCGUAUCCAACAUGCCCAUUACUCUGGGAUAGCCUUGCGAAAGUAAGAUUAAUACCGGAUGUUGUUUAGAGUUAGCAUGAAUUUUAAACCAAAGAUUUAUUGGUAAUGGAUGGGGAUGCGUGACAUUAGGUAGUUGGUGAGGUAACGGCUCACCAAGCCUACGAUGUCUAGGGGUUGUGAGAUGAAAGUCCCCCACACUGGAACUGAGACACGGUCCAGGCUCCUACGGGAGGCAGCAGUGAGUAAUAUUUGUCAAUGUACGAGAGUCUGAACCAGCCAAGUAGCGUGCAGGAUGACGGCCCUCUGGGUUGUAAACUGCUUUUAGUUGGGAAUAAAAAGAGGGACGUGUCCCUAAUUGUAUGUACCAUCAGAAAAAGGACCGGCUAAUUCCGUGCCAGCCGCCGCUGUAACAC
rnacentral:rRNA from 1 species